GUGCUCAUGGUGGCAGCACAUACACUAAAAUUGGAAUGAUACAGAGAAGAUUAGCAUGGUCCCCGUGCAAGGAUGACAUGCACAUUUGUGAAGCAUUUGAUAUUUAU
rnacentral:snRNA from 1 species